rnacentral:rRNA from 1 species
CCCUUAGAUGUUCUGGGCGGCCCGCGCACUACAAUGGCGCUUUCAGCGAGUUCCUAUGUUGAAUUUUCCUGGGUAUUCUUGGAAGCGGCGUCUUGACUUGGGAUAGAUCCUUGUAAUUGUUGGUUUUGAACGAGGAAUUCCUUGUAAUCGCGGUUGAUCAGCUCGCGUUGAAUACGUCCCUGCCCUUUGUACACACCGCCCGUCGCUCCUACCGAUGAAUCGUCCGGUGAAGCCUCGGGAUUGUGGUUCUUGCCGCUUUAUUGUGGCGUGACCGCGAGAACUUGUCUAAACCUUAUCAUCUAGAGGAAGGUGAAGUCGUAACA